UACGUAGGGCGCAAGCGUUGUCCGGAAUUAUUGGGGCGUAAAGAGCUCGUAGGCGGCCUGUUACGUCUGCUGUGAAAUCCCGGGGCUUAACCCCGGGCGUGCAGUGGAUACGGGCAGGCUGGAGGCAGGCAGGGGAGAACGGGAAUUCCCGGUGUAGCGGUGAAAUGCGCAGAGUAUUGGGAGGAACACCCGGUGGCGAAGGCGGGUUCUCUGGGCCUGGUACUGGACGCUG
rnacentral:rRNA from 1 species